rnacentral:rRNA from 1 species
CCUACGGGUGGCAGCAGUGAGGAAUAUUGGUCAAUGGGCGUAAGCCUGAACCAGCCAAGUCGCGUGAGGGAUGAAGGUUCUAUGGAUCGUAAACCUCUUUUAUAAGGGAGUAAAGUGCGGGACGUGUCCCGUUUUGUAUGUACCUUAUGAAUAAGGAUCGGCUAACUCCGUGCCAGCAGCCGCGGUAAUACGGAGGAUACGAGCGUUAUCCGGAUUUAUUGGGUUUAAGGGGUGCGUAGGCGGCUUUUUAAGUCAGCGGUGAAAGUCUGUGGCUCAACCAUAGAAUGGCCGUUGAAACUGGGGGGCUUGAGUAUGGUAGAGGCAGGCGGAAUGCGUGGUGUAGCGGUGAAAUGCGUAGAUAUAACGCAGAACCCCGAUUGCGAAGGCGGCCUGCCAAGCCAUGACUGACGCUGAUGUACGAAAGCGUGGGGAUCAAACAGGAUUAGAUACCCGAGUAGUC